CCGCCCGCCUCGGCCCUCCCCUCCGCGCGGCCCCGGGCUGCUCCCUCUGUUCCUUCCGUUAGCGCUCGGGCCCGGGCCGCGUCCCUUCACACCGCGCUGCCUUACGCGGCCCCUCAGCCCCAUUUCCCGGGUACUGCGGCCCUGCGGUGAAACGCAGCUGUCAGACCCGAGGACAAGGCUGCUAAACGCACACAGCGAUGCUCGGGGUCCGCACAGUUAUUCUAGGUAGUUAAGAAACCUACAGAAAUCCUCCCUCAGACACCUCGUAGAUGGGAUCAGCGCUUGUCAAAACUGAGAGUUUGGAGGUGGCCCCGUUCCUGUCUGCGUGCUUUAAAUACGCUGAACGUCUUUCUGUUCAAAGAAAACCUCUCAGAACAGCAGGGAGCUCAGAACAGCAGCAGCAGUCUCUGUCUGCAACCAGGGAAAAAAAGGUGGGAAGUGUUUUUCCUUUCCUUGUGGAGAGGUGUAAACUUUAAAGCUUAAUGAAGGCAAUUUGAGUAGUAACAGUAUUACCCACUUCAAAGCAGAAACGUUCGGAUGUUCCAGAAUAAUCUGUCUAAGGGAUGUAUUGUAUUCUUUCUCUUUUUGUGAUUAGAAUAAUCUCCUGCGUUAUGCCUUUUUUUUUUUUUUUUUGUUAUUCAUAGCUUUGAAACCUGUCUUAAAUGAGUGCUUAUCUCUGCCUCAAGGGUUUCAACCCGAAGGGCAUCUGGUUGAAGUUAGGCUCAGUUAGAAACCCUCCGUGAGCGAGUUUGUGUGCAGGGGAUCUGGAUUCUUAUGGCAUUCCAGCAAGGAAUGUCGUGCUGGAAGCAUAAGGUAUCUCUGUUCUCUGCAGUGUGGUACAUUUUCAGCUCUGUAUGUGUAGUUCAGUUUCAUUUAACUCCUCUCACUUCAGCCACUUUGGGUCUGACCCUUCAGAGGCUUUACAAUGACCACUGGAUUCACUGGGAGUUGAACUCUUGUGAGAUUGGUGUCUUAGGAAGAAAGUUCUGCUGGCCUUAAAGCAGUUUAAAGCUGUUUUAAACUAAGAGAGUCUUUAAGUAUUUGGCUUCUGCCCACUCGCAGUGCUCAGACUGCAGAAUGCCACAGCCACAGAUCUGUUACAGAGCUCAGAGGCAAUCUGUACAAAUAUUGUUCUGAUUUCUUUCCCCUCUGACAUUAUUGCGUAACAAUACUCUCUUCCUCCAUGCCUCUUUUCUAUUGACAAACAGUAUUGUAUCCCUCAAAGUGAUGAAAGCAAAAGCCCCUGAACUGCACAAUCAACACAUGGCAGUUCCUUUCAUUUUUAAUGAAAUAUAUGUCAGCAAAUGGUCCGAUAAGGUACCUAAAUAAUCCACAUUCAUAGACCAAAGGAAAAAGCCAUUGUUAAGCACUAGGUUUAAUACACAGAGGGUAUCCCAAUGGAUACAACAGAAAAGUUAAUUCAUUCAGAAUUGUAAGGAAGCAACAAUUGUGCAUGAUUUUUUUCUUUGCUUGGUUUCAUGUUUGAACCAGGCCUCAACAUCAGGCAGGUCGAGGGAGUAAAAGCAGAGGCUUGCUUAAUAGCGAGAGCAUUUUCUGUAUGCAAAACAUGGAAAUAUAUAUUUGGUUAGCUUUAAAACUUUGUUUUUUUUGAAACAAAAAGGAAUUACAGAAUCAGUGACAAUUGUCUGACACCAAAACGGUCCGUUAGAGCAGAAAUGUUUCAGUGGAGCAGGAAAUCUCCCUAAUUCCUGUUCUUAAGCGCCAUCUUCUCAUCCAUCCCUGACAACCAUUACCCUCUUUGCUUUGUACAGAUGGUUGUCGUGGAGAUCAGCUGUUUCCCCUAAUUUUCAUUGUCUUUUUUUCCCAGUGCAUGCCACCCUCCAACACCUGAGCUGUGGCAGUCUUCUUCCUAAACAGUCUCAGGAAAUUUUUUCUUAUGGAGUAGUGCCUGAAUGCAGUGCCCCUUCCUCUGCUGCCCUGAUAAUUCAUCAUCAUCGUCAAGCGAUGAAUGGAAUAAGCUCACAGCUCUACGGCUUUUCUUCCGCUCAUCUUUUGCAGAGACCAAAGCAACUCAAACAGAAGGCCAGCUGACAAGCUGGGUAGGAUUCAGUGCUGAACAGAUAACAUUUGAGCUAGCAGAGAGGUGCAGGGAGAUAACAGCUAUGAUGCAGAAGGGUCAGAUUAAUUAUUUGUGUCGUUAAUAAUUGCCACAAGUCUGAGUGCUAAACUUUCUCAGCUUGGUCUCAGUGAGAAAGGCUGGUGCUGCUAGGUGUUGAGCAUCAUACACACAGAUGCCAAUCUGUAUAAGCAGUUCCUCCCACAGAUCUUGUAAAAUGGAAGCACUUGUGGAAAGCUGCCUGCCAACUUGCUGUCAUGUCUAUUCCAAGGAAAAUGGCAGACAUCUGACACCCUGCGUGCUGAGGACUGCUGCAUCACUGUGCUGGGCCACUGAACCAUGAUGUGUUUUCCAGCCAGAAAGGAAACUACUUGCACUGAAGGUAGAGGGUCCCUUUGUUGGAGCAGUCUGCAGAGAAUUGCUGAGUUGGUUCAUGCUCUGCCUGCCCAGCUUUUGAAUAUUAGGGGAAAUGUCUCAUUCA